UACACUCCAGUGUCUACUCUUAUUGCAGGAUGUUGUCGAGUUACUUGUUAUGAAAUCUCAGAAAAAAAGCCUGGACAUCCACUCCAACCCAUUUCUAUGUGACACAAUUUUGCCUAAGAGGACUUAAGGGCAUGGGAGUGUCAUGCAGCAACUCGUGAGAGCUUUUGUCAAUCCUGUCUUCUCUGAAUGAUGCUUGGCGAAGCUUGUCUUUAGCUAUAAGACAGAGCUAAUGGGAAAGGAAGCUGAGUGACCAACUCCCUCGAGAGACUUUUAUGCAAAAGAGGGAGUCUCAAUGGAGAAACAAACUACUCUUGAAGGCUCCAUAUCAGCUUACAAAACCAUGCCCCAUGUGUAUUGAAGACAAAAGAAAGACUUUGGGAAUGGGAAUUCAGCAAUGAAUUGUAG